rnacentral:lncRNA from 7 species
AAAUCUGGAGCUCCGGCCCCAAAAGCAUCAGCUCUCAGCAGCGCAGCCCAUAGCCCAACCUGACCCUGCGUGGUGUGGGGGUCCCGGUGUCCCACAGCCUAUAUCCCAGUGCGGGGGCUGCUCGUCCAACCCCCCUCAGUGUCAUUUCCUGCCUCCGAGCUGCCGCUCUGGGACGCCUUUAAGGAACUGAGCAGUGCGGAGCAGCGCCCGAAGGCUACGCCGGGACAUAUAGGACGAUGAGCUUUGUAUGGGCGUCACUCUUCUUCCUUCACUUUGCAUUGGGUGAUUACUUAUAUGCGACUGAAGAGUACUAUAUUGACAACACCACACUAAUACCCACCAUGUACACGAUGUACACGUAUUAUGAAGGAGUUUCUGGACUCAGUGGCAUUACCCCUGCAGUGCCAUCUGCCUCUGCUCCUCCUCCUCAGCCUCCUGCACCUCCUGCUAUGAUGCACCAAAGGUACGAAGCCACGCAGCAUUCAAGCACUCACUCCAAGCACCCCUUCAAGCCAGCAAAAUGCAACUCUCCCCCAAAGCAUCAGCGCUCCGAAGCACCUUUCCACAACCAUCAGACCUCUGGGCAUCCAGCUCUGUGCUAACGACAGCCAAAGAAGCAUGAAUCACCGCAGGAGCUGCGGAAAAAUUAAGCCAAAGGGACUUUUAGGGUGUUUACCCAUCCAUCCAACUCUCUGCUUGCAGCCUCCAGCAUGGGGAACUCCACGCUCCCGGUGCCCAAACCCUGUUGGCACCCAGGUGCGCUCUGAAUUCCCACACGGCCUCAAGUCCAUCCAACACACAAUGGGAGGACAUGGGAAUCACUUCCUAACCUCUUCCCCUCUUUGCAGACAGAUGGCUUAGACGAAGAAAAGAAUACCGUCACCGCAUUGGAAGUUACAUCCUCUGCACGAAGCAGUCAUCUCUGUUUUUAGUACAGCUGUGAUUUUAUACACAGAUUUUUCAGCAGAUGGAUGCCAUCCCAGGCCAUAAAAGCUGUGCAAACACUGAGGAGCUUUGUAAUGACUAGGUUCUUUCCUACUUCCUAUUAUUCUAUUGUAAAUAUGAACUCCUGCCAAUAAAGUGACUUAACAAU